UACGGAGGGUGCGAGCGUUGUCCGGAAUCAUUGGGCGUAAAGGGCGCGUAGGUGGCGGGACAAGCGUGCGGUGAAAGCUCGGGGCUCAACCCCGAGUCGGCCGUGCGAACUGUUUUGCUUGAGCACUGUAGAGGCAGGCGGAAUUCCGGGUGUAGCGGUGGAAUGCGUAGAGAUCCGGAAGAACACCGGUGGCGAAGGCGGCCUGCUGGGCAGUGGCUGACGCUGAGGCGCGACAGCGUGGGGAGCAAACAGG
rnacentral:rRNA from 1 species